rnacentral:rRNA from 1 species
UACGUAGGGGGCAAGCGUUGUCCGGAAUUAUUGGGCGUAAAGCGCGCGCAGGCGGUUCACAUAGUCGGGUGGUUAAGCUCGGGGCUCAACCCCGAGUCACACUGGAAACUGGUGGACUUGAGUGCAGAAGAGGAGAGUGGAAUUCCACGUGUAGCGGUGAAAUGCGUAGAGAUGUGGAGGAACACCAGUGGCGAAGGCGACUCUCUGGACUGUAACUGACGCUGAGGCGCGAAAGCUAGGGGAGCAAACGGG